UUUACUUAAAGAAUAUUAAGCCUAGCUUCUUCAGAAUUUGAUCUUGUUUCUAGCUUCACUUGAUUAUUGGGUACUUCUAUGAGUUGUAAGAAAUUUAGUACUUAUCUUAUGAAGACAUGUCAUUGAUGCAGGUGACAAACAAAAAUAUGAAUGAGUCGCCCCACACUUGCACUCGUGAUAUGCUUUGCGUUGUUGUUAGUAUCAUUACCUAUCAUCCAUUGAAGGGGCUACCGAGUUGCUGCUCUUGUUCCUUCUGGUUUGCUUCAGGUCAAAAUUGGUUUGCUUCAGGAGCACGGUGAGCUAAAUGGAGAAGAAAUGUAGAUCUAGCAAUGAGACGGUGGAGGCUCUUAUUUGUUUUGGGUCGUUUUGUAAUUCCUAGUAACGUUGAAUUUGUUUCUAUGGAUUUUAAUUUUAUGUACUUUUGUCAUUAAAAUCACCAAAUUAAUUAGUGAACAACUAUUUUGUAAUGCAUGUGUCCUAUGGGCACUAAUAUUAAUUGUAAUAUUACUUUUCAAGUCAAUGAAAAUCUUUUGUUAUUAUUAUUAUU